rnacentral:rRNA from 1 species
UACGUAGGUGGCAAGCGUUGUCCGGAUUUACUGGGCGUAAAGAGCGCGCAGGCGGUCGUAUAAGUCGAAUGUGAAAGCCCCCGGCUCAACUGGGGAGGGUCAUUCGAUACUGUUCGACUCGAAGGCAGGAGAGGGUAGUGGAAUUCCCGGUGUAGUGGUGAAAUGCGUAGAUAUCGGGAGGAACACCAGUGGCGAAGGCGACUAUCUGGCCUGUUCUUGACGCUGAGGCGCGAAAGCUAGGGGAGCAAACGGGG